GGUGGGGUGUCCGAGUGGUUUAAGGAGCACGCUUGGAAAGUGUGUGGUCGCAAGGCCUCGCAGGUUCGAAUCCUGUCCCCACCG
rnacentral:tRNA from 1 species